UUGAUCUCUCAGGCUCAAGUGAUCCUCCUGCCUCAGCCUCCCGAGUAGCUAGUAUUACAAGUGGCACAUCAGCAUACCUGGCUAACUUUUUAAAUUUUUUUAUAAAGAUGGGGUCCCACCAUAUUGCCCAGGCUGGUCUCAAACCAACUUUUAAAAAUAGCCUUUAUUUUUUAGAGUGGUUUUAGGUUCACAGCAAAAUUAAGCAGAAAGUACAGAGUGAUCCCAGAUACUCCCUGCCCACACACGUGCAUAGGGUCCUCCACUGUCAACAGCUCCAACCAGAGUGGUGCAUUUCUUUCCAUCAAUGAACCUGCACUGACUUAUCAUUAUCACCUGGAUUCCACAGUUUACACUAGGAUUCCCUCACUUACAGACAUGCAGUUAAGUUUUUUCCAUGUCUUUUUGUGGUUUCAUGGCUCAUAUUUUUUUUUUUUUGUAGCACUGAAUACUGAAUAGUAUUCCAUUGUCUGGAUAUACCCCAGUUUAUUUAUUCAGCAUCUACUGAGGGUCAUCCUUGUAGCGUCUAAGUUUUAGCAAUUGUGAAUAAAGCUGCUAUAAAAUUGGUGUGCAGGUUUCUGUGUGGAUGUACAUUUUCAGUUCCUUUGGGUAAAUACCAAGGAGCAUAAUUGCUGAGUCGCCUGGUAACAAUAUGUUUAAUUUUGUGAAAAACCACCAAACUGUCUUCCAAAGUAUUUGUUCUGUUUUGCAUUCCCACUGGCAAUGAAUGAAACUUUAUUUUAUUUUAUUUUUUGAGACAGGAUUUUGCUUUGUCAUCCAGACUGGGGUGCAGUGGCCCAAACAUGGCUCACUGCGGCCUCAAUCUCCUGGGCCCAAGUGAUCCUCCUGCCUCUGUCCCCCAAGUAGCUGGGACUACAGGCACACACCACCAUGCUCUGCUAUUUUUUGUAUUUUUUGUAGAGAUGGGUUUUUGCCAUGUUGCCCAGGCUGCUCUCAAACUCCUGAGCUCAACGAUCUGGCAGCCUUGGCCUCCCAAAAUGCUGGGAUUACAGGUGUGAGCCACUGCACCCGGCCGAGACUUUUAUUUUAAAUCACAGAUGAAAGUGACUUGCUUAAGAUUACACAACUAUUAGUUGGUAGAGCAGCACUUCUGGUUCCAUACUCUGGGUAGUUUCUGUUUGACCACACUGUCCCCUCAGCUAGACAAGCCAAUCCCAUGCCCUUACAAACACUCCCACAUUUCCUGACCCUUGCUUUUGAGGCCUCAUUCUUGGUGCAGAAGCUUCCUGAGGCAUCCUUCUUCUGCUCCAUGAAGGAAAGACUGUCAUCCAUCCAGGUCCUGUGUCUGAGAAGCUUGCGAUGCUCUUGCAGUGCCCUGGCAUGCGCAGGGGCCAAUGUCCAGUUGUCCAAGCUUACCUGUGCCAAGAGAGGACCCGGGUGGCUCUGCAAGGCCCUCUUUCUAGUCAGAAGAGACCCGGCCAGCCCCAGAAUCUGAGGAGUCACUGGAACGUCAUCAGGGACUAGGAGAGGAAAAGGCCCCCAUGGCGCUCCCCUCUCUCCAGAUCCAAGCUCUUUCUUUGUCUCUUUUUGAUGCGAAAUUCACAUAACAUAAAAAUUAACCAUUUUAGGCCAGGCAUGGUGGCUCAUGCCUGUAAUCCCAGCACUUUGGGAGACCAAGGUGGGUGAAUGACAUGAGGCCAGGAGUUCGAGACCAGCCUGGCCAACAUGGAGAAAGCCCAUCUCCACAAAAUAAAUAAAAAACAACGAAAUUGACCAUUUUAAAGUGAACAAUUCAGUGGCAUUUAGCACAUUCACGACGCUGUGCAGCUACCACUUUUAUCUAGUUCCAACACUCUCAUCACUCCAAAGAGAAACCCCAUCCCUGUUAAGCAGCCAGUGUCGCUUUUCGCCCUCUUCCUAGCCCCGGACAGCCACCAAUCUGUGUUCUGUCUCUUUGGGUUUACCCAGUCUGGUAAUGGAAUAAAUGGAAUCAUACAACAUGUGGCCUUUUGUGUCUGGGUCCAAGUUAUUUUCCAUUACUCCCUGAGGAAGGAGGAGGAGAAGGGACCUCUUCUGCCUUUGUCUCCCUCCCCGUCCCUUGUCCACCUUGCCCUGUGCGCCCACCAGCAGCACCUGUGGCUCAGCUCCUCCAUUCUAUGCUAUUUCCUAUUUCUCUUUUUUAUUUUUUGAAAAAGGGACUCACUCUGUUGCCCAGGCUGGAGUGCAGUGACGUGACCGUAGCUCACUGCAGCCUCAACCUCCCAGGCUCAAGUGACACUCCCACCUCAGCCUCCUGAGUAGCUGGGACUACAGCAUGCACCACUACGGCCAACUAAUUUUUAAAACUUGUUUUUUGUAGAGACUGAGUUUCGCCAUGUUGCCCAGGCUGGUCUCGAAUUCUUGGCCUCAAGUGAUCCUCCUGCCUCUGCCUCCCAAUGUGCUGGGAUCACAGGCAUGAGCCACCAUACUCAGCCUCCUAUUCCUUUUUUUUUUUUUCAAUUUUGUACAUUUUUAAUUCUAAAUUUUCUCAUUACACAAAUAAAAAGUGAAGUAAUAGCUGUUGAAAUGUUGGCUCUAUUAGCAUAAAAAGAAUUUGCAAACGGUUAAAUAUUUCCAAUUUCAUAUCAAUGUCAUCAGUUGCUUUGAAGGAAAAAAACAGUUAAUUCCAAUAGUGUUUGAUUUUUAUUUUUCAUCUAAUUCAUAACAUCCUAUUCCUUUUAAUUACCCUUAGCAGAGUACUUUGAGGAGUCAUAGAUGCAUUCAACAAAUAGCCCAUAGGCUAGCAGCGGGGAGAGACAGGUUAAGUGUCAUUAAAACUGUGAUAAGGCAACACUAGCAGUUUUACAGAGAGCCAGGGGACCCAGAGGAGAGACAACUAAUUCAGCCUGGAGGUGAGGCUGGUGAGGGAAGACAACACGGAGGAGACAGAUGCGGGGCGGGGGAGGGCAGGCCGGGUCUGUCUUGUUCACUGUUCCUCAGCACUCAGGGUAGUUCCUGGCAACUAGAACGGGGAUGAGUGAACAAGUUAAUGAAUCAAGCAGGCAAUCUAUCAGCCAAGAGCUGAAGAAUUAAUAGGAGUUGUCUCUACCAGAAAAAAUGGGUAGAGCAUAUCUGGAGACUUGUAGGCAAGAGGGUCAGCCCUUUUAUUACACUGAGUGGUAUUUCGGUCUAGAUGAAGGUUGAAGAAGAUGGGGGGUAAGGACAGAAGAAGUUGGGGCCAGAUCAUGCAGGGCCUUGGAAGCGACAUAAAGGAGUUUGACUGAGUAAAAAGAGCGACCUGAGUAAAAAGAGGGACCACUGAAGGGUUUUGCGCAGAUGUACGUUUUAGAAACACAUCUGUCUAAUCCAGGCUAGGGAUAAUGAUGACCUAACGAGGCUCCCAGCAGACAGAACGUCAUUCUUGCACUCCUGCUAUUGGUGUUCUACUGGAAAACAGAGGUGUUUAAUCAAAAAUAACCAUAAAAAAAUUAAUGAAUUAAUCAUAAGGAUGCAAGGUGCUCUGAGGGAUGCUAUGAGUCAAGAAAAUCCUUCUCAAGACCAGGAGGGACUUUGAAAUCAAAACUUGGGAGAUGAACAGGAGUUGGCCAACACUGAAGCUUUUGGGAACGUCCUGAGCAACCUGUGGUGAAGGAAGUGAGAGAAGUCCAGGGUAGUUGCGGUGAAGAGUGUGAGGCUGGGAGACUGAUCGGAUGAGGCUGGGGCGAUAAGUAGGGCUCAGACCAGAACGACCCUAUUACACAUUUUGGACUUACCCUAAGCAAAAUAGGAAGUCCUUGAUGAUGUAAACAGGACCCUAUUUUGAAAAAUAGGAUUAAUUGCAUUUCUCUUUUGCAUUUCUGUGCAUGUGACCUUCUUCCUGCUCAGCUCAAACAUCUGCUUCCUUGGGGAAAGGGACUAGGAUUAUCAAAGAAAAAAAUGGAGAGGAAGAUAAUGAAUAGCUUCUGACCUCCAAAAUAAGAUUUUUCAGCCAGACAAUAGUCUCAAAAGACAUUAUUUUUAAAAGAAAAAAGAUGUUCUGUUGUCUUUAGCUCCCUCUUUAAGAUAUCAAGAAGCCCUGACAGAAUUAAUCAUGGGGCUUUACCUAAAGAAAAGAAUAGAAGAGAAACCCCUGACCUUUAGUCCAAAGGAUGGCAAGGAGGAGUAGCUUAAUGGGUUUGGGGUUUUCUUUCUGGGUGAUGAAAAUAUUUUGCAACUAGACAGAGGUGGUAGUUGUAUUAUACAACAUCGUGAAGGUAAUAAAUGCCACUGAAUUGUUCACUCUAAAAUGGUUCAUUUUCUUCUAUAUGAAUUCCACCACAAAACAAAGAUAUGUCACCUAUAUAAUACUGAAUAGUUUCCAAAGGUCCUGAGGGACAAGGCAGCGUUAUGCUCUGAAAUAGCAGCAGAUCUGAAGGCCCCACAGCAGCCUGUACUUUGCCUUUGGAGAAAGAAGGGGGGUCCCCCGUGUCUAACCAGGGCCCUGUCCUCACAGUGCCCUCAGAGACAUUCAGCCGAAUGCCACUGCAGUCCAGGCCACUGCGGAGUGUUUGUGUUUUGGUUUGUUUUCCCCUUGGGCUUACAGAAGGACUUGUGAAGGUGUUUAGUUUGGUUAAGGACUUCCCACUUCCAGAGGUGGAGCCUGAAGAAGGUUCUAUUUUUUUUCUUCAAGUGAGUGGAACUUUCCAGGGACAACAACUCACAGGCUAUGGAUAGACUACGGAUGCACUUCACUGUGGCCUCUACUCAUGAGGGGCCUAAUGGACGAGGAGGAGGAGGAUCUGCCCAAUGGGCAGUCAUGGGGUAUAGUCCCCUCUCCACUCCAGGAAGGUUUGGCAAAGGCAGAAGCUGACUGCAAAGACUGGAUGGGUUGGGUGCAAUGGCUCACGCCUAUAAUCCCAGCAUUUUGGGAGGCCGAGACGAGUGGAUCACCUGAGGUCAGGAGUUCGAGACCAGCCUGGACAACAUGACGAAACUCCGUCUCUACUAAAAAUACAAAAAAUUAGCUGGGCGUGGUGGUGGGCGCCUGUAAUCCCAGCUACUUGGGAGGCUGAGGCAGGAGAAUAGCUUGAACCCGGGAGGCAGAGGUUGCAAUAAGCCAAGAUCACACCACGGCACGCUAGCCUAGGCAACAAGAGCAAAACUCUGUCUCAAAAAAAAAAACCCGAAAAAACAAAAAAAACAAAGAAGACUGGAUGGACUUGUCCUAACAGCUCACAGUGUCUCAGGAAACAGUCCUUUAGUUGUCUCAUCAGGUGUAAGAACAGCAUCCUAGACCAGGUACACAGUUGGCCCUGAAGGCCAUCAGACCUGUGUGAGGGCCUGGCAGGGCCCUGUGGCCAGCAGGGGCUGAGCUACCCAUGUACAAGUAUCCCAUUCACCCUUUAAACACACAGGCCAAAAGGAAAAUCGCACUCUUCAUUUCAAACAUGGCACUGGAGCCCAGAGCCCAGUGGCUUCACCUUAAUCAAGUUGCCUCCAUCAACACUGUCACAAAGGUCUAUGAUUUCAACUACUUAAGUUUCCCUCUGACUUGAGCCCGUCACCUCUUUUCAUAUGCCCUCACACAUACAUGGUCUCGUUGCUCAACAUGUUGGAAAAUAUCAGCUCCAGGAGAAAUUCCUUUUCCCUUACAUAGUGGCAGGCCUAAUGAACACAGAAAGCCUGGAGACUGGGUUGUGUUCACUUGGGGAACUCUAGGUCCAGCAAAAGGGGAUGGUCCCAGGGAUCCCUCACCAAGACAGCUUUCCUGGGGAAGCAGAUUGUGCUUAAUCCUCAAAACUGCAAAUUUGUUGGAAAUGUCAUCAAGAGUUAACCAUUACCCCAGGUCACUGAACUGGUUUGGGCCGAGGCAGCCUAGAAUGACAGGUGACUGCAACAUUCCCCCAACAGACCGUCUUAGGUUGAGAACCCAGUAGAGGUCGCCCCUUACUUUUUUUCUCCAUAAGAAACUGAAAAACUGUCUGGAUGCUUUGAAAGCAUUUACAGCUGCUCAGAGAAGCUUCUGACUCCAUCUAAUAAGCCCCUGGCAGCCAUCAACCUCUCUAAUUGCCCUAUAGGUGAAGAGGUGGGAAUUUAAAUAAACAGUGGAUUUUGAAGAUGAACAAUGUUAUGGAAGGGCCUAGGCAUGACAGCCAAGCAUCAAAGCAUGAGCACAUGUGUCUCUCUUGACAACAUAAUCCCCAAAGCUCAGAGAAGCUGGAUGUGGACCUCCCGAGCAUCUGCCUCCUUGGCAUUUAUACCACAAGGAAACAUACCAGUUACUCAAGAAAGUACAGGUAGCACUGAAACCCUCCAGAUUCCUUCUGGUUCCUUGUCUACUCAGGCAGAAGAGGUCAUUACAAGGCCCAAUGCUACGACUCUGAGUGGCCCUGUUCCCUAAUGCCCCUGGCUCACAUAAAAGGAAAACGAGGCCAUGUGCGGUGGCUCACGCCUGUAAACCCAGCACUUUGGGAGGCUGAGUCGGGUGGAUCACUUCAGGUCAGGAGUUCGAGACCAGCCUGGCCAACAUGGGGAAACCCCGUCUCUACUAAAAUUACAAAAGUUACCCAGGUGUAGUGGUGCACAUCUGUAAUCCCAGCUACUUGGGAGGCUGAGGCAGGAGAAUCAGUUGAACCCAAGUGGCAGAGGUUGCAGUGAGCCAAGAUCAUGCCACAGCACUCCAGCCUGGGCAACAGAGUGAAACUCCAUCUCAAAAAAAAAAAAAAAAAAAAAAGGAAAAGGAAGGCAUAUUGUUAUUCUUCUUAAGUAGGUACUCUUCUAUAUUAUAUAUUAUAUAUAAAAUAAAAAAGGAAAAGGAAGGCAUAUUGUUAUCCCUCCUGUUUACUUAUAUAUUUUACAUAUAUAAUAUAAUAUUAUCAUGACCCUGCUCCUUUACUGAUGAGGAAACUAAGGGUCAGAGAGGUUAAAUGGCUCUCUCCAAACCUCAAUAGCCAGUGAGUAUUGGGGGCAGGCCUAGGAUUUAGGGUCCCUGUGACUCCCAGCUCAGUGCUCUUGGUGUCUCCAGAGAAUGAGGCCUAUACACUGAGCUUGUCUAAAGCAUGUGGGAGGCCAGGCAUGGUGGCUGAUGCCUGUGAUCCCAGCACUUUGAGAGACUGAGGCAGGAGGACUGCUUGAGUCCAGGAGUUCAAGAAGCGCCUGGGCAACAUGGUGAAACCCUAUCUCGACAAAAAAUACAAAAAUUAGCCAGGCAUGGUGGCAGAUGCCUGUAGUCCCAGUUACUUGGAAGGCUGAGGUGGGAGGAUCACCUGAGCCGGAGAGGUCAAGGCUGCAGUGAGCCAUGGCUGUGCCACUGCAUGCCACCCUGGGUGAUAGAAUGAAAUCUUAUCUCAAAAUAAAAUAAAAUAAUAAAGCAUAUUGGAGCAAGUGGUAUAAUUUCUAGGGCUAAGUCUCAGCCAGCUGCCAGCCACCAUGGGCCUUAACUCAUGACAGGGUUUCGUCCCUAUCAUUCGCACUACAAGGAAAGAGUACCCCAGAGCAGAUGUUCCCCAAUCACCCUGGGAUUCCUGGUCUACAGGAUAAUGGGGGCCUGAGAUGACACUUUUAAGUGCUCAACACCUAACAGCCUGUGACUUUUCAAAAACAGAAGUCUAGAGAUGUGAUCACCCAACAUAUUUGCACGGUUUUCUGAGCCCUUUCCUGCUCGUGAUCUCAUCCAACCACCCUGACAACCUUAGCCAUACAUUUAAUUGGUUCUUUGAAGAUUUCUGGGUUUCCAGAGUCAACCUGUUCAAACAAAAUACCCCAAGGAAGGGAUAGCACCUUAUACUUUUAUUGGCUCACAGCUUGGCAAGAGUUGGCAGCUGGCUGAGAAUUAGGCCCUGAGAAGGAAACAGGAUCAGGAGGGAUUGGGAAGGGGUCAAAAGGGAAAAGAAGAAUGAGACGGGGCGGUAGACAUGCCCCGAUGCCCUCCCAGAAGCCCACCUCACAGCUUUGCAGAAAGAGGUUCUAAGCAAGCAGAAGGAAGUUCCCAGCUCCCCCAGCCCCCCUGCCACCCCACCAGCAGAAAAACCAACUUUACCCAUGAGGGCCAAAGGUAGAGAGGAAUAGAAGAAAAAGAGAAGAAAAAGGAGAGAUGGGAAGACAGAAUAAACCAACCAUCAGAGGCUCUUCAAUCUUAAUUCAUUUUAUUCUACAAAAUGCUACUCAACUGAAAGUGGAA
rnacentral:lncRNA from 1 species